GCCUCGCUAGCUCAAUGGCUAGAGCGUGGGACUUUUAAUCCCAAGGUUGCGGGUUCGACCCCCGCGUGAGGCU
rfam:Pyronema omphalodes CBS 100304, CBS100304, WGS project CATG01000000 data, contig: Pcon_v1_contig140